rnacentral:rRNA from 1 species
GAGAGGUGCUGCAUGGCUGUCGUCAGCUCGUGUUGUGAAAUGUUGGGUUAAGUCUCGCAACGAGCGCAACCUCUAUCGUCUGUUGCCAGCAUUAAGUUGGGCACUCUGACGAGACUGCCUGGGUUAACCAGGAGGAAGGUGGAGAUGACGUCAAGUCCUCAUGGCCCUUAUGUCUAGGGCUACACACGUAAUACAAUGGCGCGUACAAAGGGAAGCGAACCUGCGAAGGGGAGCAAAUCUCAAAAAGCGCGUCUCAGUCCGGAUUGGAGUCUGCAACUCGACUCCAUGAAGUUGGAAUCGCUAGUA